ensembl:lncRNA
CAUGUUGUAAAAACGUGCCAUAUGAUGAAAUAAUGUAAAGGAGGCCGUGAAAAACACUCCAGAAAGGUUUUCUUUGAAAAAAAAAUCAUCAUGAAUUUUGGCGCAAAAAAACGCCUUACUAUACUAUGUCGAAAAAAAAUGGGAUUUUUCAAACAUGUUGUAAAAACGUGCCAUAUGAUGAAAUAAUGUAAAGGAGGCCGUGAAAAACACUCAGGAAAGGUUUUCUUUGAAAAAAAAAAUCAUCAUGAAUUUUGGCGCAAAAAAACGCCUUACUAUACUAUGUCGAAAAAAAAUGGGAUUUUUCAAACAUGUUGUAAAAACGUGCCAUAUGAUGAAAUAAUGUAAAGGAGGCCGUGAAAAACACUCCAGAAAGGUUUUCUUUGAAAAAAAAAUCAUCAUGAAUUUUGGCGCAAAAAAACGCCUUACUAUACUAUGUCGAAAAAAAAAUGGGAUUUUUCAAACAUGUUGUAAAAACGUGCCAUAUGAUGAAAUAAUGUAAAGGAGGCCGUGAAAAACACUCCAGAAAGGUUUUCUUUGAAAAAAAAAAUCAUCAUGAAUUUUGGCACAAAAAAACGCCUUACUAUACUAUGUCGAAAAAAAAUGGGAUUUUUCAAACAUGUUGUAAAAACGUGCCAUAUGAUGAAAUAAUGUAAAGGAGGCCGUGAAAAACACUCCAGAAAGGUUUUCUUUGAAAAAACAUGAAUUUUGGCGCAAAAAAACGCCUUACUAUACUAUGUCGAAAAA